UGGCUCAGCCCAGCUCCUGCCUAGGAAAGCCUUAGUGUUGGGAGGGACCCUGAUGACUGAGGAGCCUGGUAGUUCCAGGUCGCCCACACUUUCAGGUCUCUUGCACCAGAAGGUGGCAGGAUCCAUUGGGAGGAAACAGAUCGCCUUGGAAGGCGUCCCUGGGCCCCCAUCCCCAGGGGUAGGGGCCGUAGGGGGCCCGCUCUGCUGUCUUGACCAGACUCCUGGGCUUUGAAGGCUCCUGGGCCCAGUAAGAAGGAGGUGGGUGCCAAGGUUGAGGAGGAAGCAUCCGAGUAUGUGUAGGAGGAGGACAGGGUGGGACCAUAGACUUUGCCAAAAGCUGCAGGUGGAUCGGGGGACCCUGGGGGCUCAGGAUCUAGCAAGGGGCGGCAGGAGUAAAGGAGGAAGGAAUGACAGGUGCAAAUACCUUCCCACCAAAGCCCUUGUUGCCCUCUGGCUCCUCCCCAGAGUUGUCCCCACUCUCAGUCGGUCACCCACUCCUUGAACUUGAGAUCAGUGUCAGUGGUGCUAAAGCCAUCAUCAGCAAUGACAUCAUCACCCCCUCCUCCUCAUGGAUGACCGUGUGCUCCUCGUCACUCGCUAUGUCCUCACUGGCCAUGUGCUGGGAAUGAGCAGCUCAGGUGGGCAGCAGCAGGGCUGCCCACUGGUCACCUCCCUCACCAGGGGCUGCAAAGUGGCCUGGAGCUCCAUACUGAGUAGAAGGCUUUGGGCCAGAGUAUGAUGCAGUGCCAGACACCACCUGUGUCAGUUCCUGUAGUGCCUGACGGUCUAUUUCCCUGCCGUCCAGGCUGUGUACCCCACUGUGGGAGAAGGCUUGGCCUCUGAGCUGGACUUCUUUUGGUCCUUGUUGCAAGU
rnacentral:lncRNA from 1 species